UCGUAGACCCGAAACCAGGUGAUCUACCCAUGGUCAGGUUGAAGUUCAGGUAACACUGAAUGGAGGACCGAACCGACUUACGUUGAAAAGUGAGCGGAUGAACUGUGGGUAGCGGAGAAAUUCCAAUCGAACUUGGAGAUAGCUGGUUCUCUCCGAAAUAGCUUUAGGGCUAGCCUCAAGUGAUGAUUAUUGGAGGUAGAGCACUGUUUGGACGAGGGGCCCCUCUCGGGUUACCGAAUUCAGACAAACUCCGAAUGCCAAUUAAUUUAACUUGGGAGUCAGAACAUGGGUGAUAAGGUCCGUGUUCGAAAGGGAAACAGCCCAGACCACCAGCUAAGGUCCCAAAAUAUAUGUUAAGUGGAAAAGGAUGUGGCGUUGCCCAGACAACUAGGAUGUUGGCUUAGAAGCAGCCAUCAUUUAAAGAGUGCGUAAUAGCUCACUAGUCGAGUGACACUGCGCCGAAAAUGUACCGGGGCUAAACAUAUUACCGAAGCUGUGGAUUGUCCUUUGGACAAUGGUAGGAGAGCGUUCUAAGGGCGUUGAAGCAUGAUCGCAAGGACAUGUGGAGCGCUUAGAAGUGAGAAUGCCGGUGUGAGUAGCGAAAGA
rnacentral:rRNA from 1 species